CUCUCUCUCUCUCCUGCUGCAUUGUGAAGAAACUGCUUGCUUCCCUCUCACCCUCUGCAGUUUCCUGAGGCCUCCCCAGCCAUGCGGAACGCCUGCUUCCAUAUCGUAAACUGCCUUGGAACCAAUUACCACUACCAGGGAGACAAACUAUUGCUUAGAGGAUGCUGACAGGAGCAGCAUGCCAAAAUUGGAAGAAUGUUGUCUCUCAGCUGGUGCCACGAAUAGGUCUUCAGCAGGCUGUUCCAUUCCACCAUUCUGUCUGGCCCACUGCUUCUUACAAGAUUAAGAUAGCAGAUCCCAUGGGUGUAGGGAGAAAGUUUAAGCUCUCCUCACUAUGAGUUUUCAAGUAUAAAAGACUUUUUCUUCCACGAUUUUGAGAACAACUGAGGACUCUUGUGACCAGGACAACAGGGAAGCUUGCAGCAAGAUAGCUCCAGGUUGGAUUCAUGCUUCGCACCCCAAGGGCUGCCAGCCAGAGAGGAGGAGAAGCAAUCACUCCUGCAGUUUCUGAACACUACACAGACGCCAGGUAGCUUCUUCAGGAGAACAGCCCUCUGAGGAGGCAGGAAGAGGAGGCUUAUCUUUCAGCA
rnacentral:lncRNA from 10 species